rnacentral:rRNA from 1 species
GAAUUUCGGACAAUGGGCGAAAGCCUGAUCCAGCAAUGCCGCGUGCAGGAUGAAGGCCUUCGGGUUGUAAACUGCUUCUGUACGGAACGAAAAACUUUUGGUUAAUACCCUGGAGUCAUGACGGUACCGGAAGAAUAAGCACCGGCUAACUACGUGCCAGCCGCCGCGGUAAUAAGACGGGUGCCAGCGUUAAUCGGAAUUACUGGGCGGAAAGCGUGCGCAGGCGGUUUUGUAAGACAGAGGUGAAAUCCCCGGGCUCAACCUGGGAACUGCCUUUGUGACUGCAAGGCUAGAGUACGGCAGAGGGGGGUGGAAUUCCGCGUGUAGCAGUGAAAUGCGUAGAUAUGCGGAGGAACACCGAUGGCGAAGGCAACCCCCUGGGCCUGUACUGACGCUCAUGCACGAAAGCGUGGGGAGCAAAC